AGCUCCAGUAGCGUAUAUUAAAAUUGUUGCAGUUAAAAAGCUCGUAGUUGGAUUUCUGGUAUGUAUUGAUUUGAGUGAAUCUAAUUUCUUUUAUUGGGAAUUAUGUAUUGACUUGACCAUACCAUUGUUUUCUAUUAUGGUUGAUUGUAUGCAAAACAUACAAUGAACACAUAUAGAAUCUUUUACUUUGAAAAAAUUAGAGUGUUUAAAGCAGGCUUGAUAGCUAUGAAUACAUUAGCAUGGAAUAAUAAUUUAGGGCUUUUGUCCUUUUGUUGGUUUUCCUGGAUAAAAGUAAUGAUUGAUAGGGAUAGUUGGGGGUGCUCGUAUUUCGUCAACAGAGGUGAAAUUCUUGGACCGACGAAAGACGAACUUAUGCGAAAGCAUUCACCAAGGAUAUCUUCU
rnacentral:rRNA from 1 species